UUUCACCUCAGGUAACGUACCGCGGAGGUUGCAUACUUUUCCCUCGUCAUUCUUUCACCGCAGAUCCUCCGAUUCCGUCUCCAAUUCCGCAUAAAUCCCCCCUGCGCCUUUGUGCGAGUGUCGGGCUCUUUGCCUCGCUUUCGUCUGGCUGUGCUUCCGUCUGCUCUUCCUCACUUUCUCCUUAUUUUCCCCCCGCAGCCACCCAGUUACUGCUGGAUCGCAAAUGCUUCUAGAACUUCAAUAACCCAUCGCCUUCACGAGAGAAUUGUGUUCACAAUAUGUCCACUAGGGGGCAGUAUAACCCCAGUAGUAAGCUGCCCGAGAAAUCCCACUGGAUGUCCUCACCUUUAGUGCUGUCCCUGGAGGGACGGAGCAGAGGGGAAUGUCAUCCACACCAAGUGAUGAGAAGCAGCUGGGUGGGCCAUCUGAAUGGAUACAGUUACAUGUGAAGACAAGGCAUGUCAAACUUGUACAUUGCAGACAACUGUUGGGAGUUUUCCUUUGGAGAGCAUGUAGGUGGACGAAGGGGAGCAUAUUGUUGAGUUUUAUUUUAGCACUCCGCACACUGAAACACUACUGUAAAGAGUUUUUAGUCUGGAUCCAAAACGGAAAAUGUGCAAGAACAUGGUACUGUAGAUACAUGCUGUGUUGUGGUGGAUGCAUUCAUGGAUGAGUGUACAGGGAAAGGUUGAAUGGGAGUGUUGGGGAGUGCUUGUAGAGAUCCAAGGAUGCUGUAUUAUUGUGAUAUCUUUAUUUCUUGCCUUAUUGAUACUUCCCAGAAGAGAUAAUUAAAGUUACCUUGCAACAUUCUCUCAGUGAAACCUAGAGGAGCAUGUGGGAAUCACAUAAAAAUGGCAGCUUUUUUAAUGGCAGUACUAAUCAACUCAGUUUACAGUAUGGAAACUUCGAGGACAUAUCGGUAUCAGGUUUUUAAUGCGUCUCUUAUAGCAGUUAUUUGGUGCUGAUAUUCAGAAUUAAUUUUUUAUGCUAAGAAAUCACACCUUAUCAUAAAUGAAGCUGCAAACAUGUACUCGGUAUGCUUAUAGGACACCACAAACUAUUUUGGAAGUGUGGAUGCCGAUGAACAAGCUGAAGUUUCUCAUAAUUAAUUUAAAAAUGUAUUGUCCAAUGAAAUAAAUGUAAACAGUUUUUAUAUAUGCUAGCUGUGGUCACAAAGGAUUUUCCAUCAUGUCAGAGCUGGAUGACUAAUACAAAAUCAGCUUUAUAUAUUGUGAAGACUGCGGUGUAUAUUAGUAUAAUUCCAGCUAGCAUGUUUUUAUUUUCUGCAUUGAAAUUGAUGACCAUCAGAUGAGUGUGUGAGGUCUUUCCCUGCCUCCUAGUGUCUGAUGCACAGUGACAACAACAUGCUUGUGUGGGUGGGCUCUGACAUGGUGUGUGACACCAGAAAUCUGGAUACAAUCAUUACCAACGCAUGGAGUCAAGGUCAUUAGCUCCACUCUUCCUCCAGUGAAUUGUGGGUCGUCUGUCACAGGGGCCCAGUGUCCGAGACUUGUCUUGGUGAAAGAUGAAAAGGUCCUUGCACUCUCCAGUGAGUCGCCCAUGAAAAUGCCCGCGACAAACGACCCAUGAGCAGAGACACACCUUUCAUCAGUGAGAGUGAUGGGAUGUGUUUCUGUCUCUGUCUAUGGGGGCAGUGUGUGUGUUUGCCCUGAAAAUACCCUUCCCCAUUCCUAUGCAAUACAUAUUGUCCCUUUUCCUAAAGGCAGAAAGGCCUUGGGAUUGCUCAGGAUGUUUUCAUUCUCCCUGCCAACAGAAAUCAGGCAUCUCUGUUUAGUUAACAUGUAAGAACAGACCAGAGUAUCAGUGAUUCACACUGCAUAAGGCCUCAUUAUAUAACCUCUGUAAUAUGGGAACAGAAUCAUAAGAAGGAUGUUGAUAAUUAACUGAUGAGUGAGUGUGUGUGUGUGUGUGUGUGUGUGUGUAUAUAUCUAUAUACACACACAUACACACCUGAUACCUGUUGUAUUAGAAGCUUCUGAGACCAUAGUUUGUGGUGAUACUGUACGGCGUUGCAAUAACUUCUGUGCUAUUACAUUUACCUUGUAUGUAC